AAUCAGUGUUACAUGGAUAUUAACAGCAGGUAUUUUCGUUGAUAACAAAUCAAAUCUUCUUCCGUAGCAAAAACAGCUUGACAAAUAUCUAUCACAAAGUCCAUCGCAACGACGCGAUACACUAAGGAUCUCGAAGAAAAGCUAUUAAAAGCAAUUAGAGCCGUCUGCUACAUCACAUUCACGAGAUGUCACUGAUAAUCUGCAGAGUUUCGAUUUUAUUGCGUUUAUAUGCAGUUACUUCAACAAACCAAUGCAUGUUCUAUAUAAUAAGGCACAGAAAUAUUUACCGAAAAUACUGAAUGUUAAUGACAAUGGUUCCAAACGUCGUAACUGGCGAUAUAUGCCAAAAAUUUACAACCCUUACUGCAGUCUCACGACCGCAGCCAUCUUGAUGUUGAGAAUAGUCAGAUGAAUAACGCAUACAAUCAGCUGUUCCACGUCAAAAGGUCCCUAGUAAAAUCGUCUCACUCGAUAUAACGUAAGACAGAGAUGGAAAUCUCCAUUAUAACGUUAAGAUAAUUACAGUUGAAAAAAUCACGUGGAGAACAUGCGUACUUCGUCAAGUGGUAUUUAAAAAACUUUUGCACAGGAAUACGUCAUCCAUUAUCGCGAUUCACGUGGCUAAUAAUUUCAUUACAGAAGAACAUCUUGCUAUAUUUAAUAAAAAAUACUCUCAUUUUAUCGUCAAGAUAAAUUGUACCGAGAUUUUACUUCAAAAUAUGAAACUAAAAAUGCAUAAUGUUUAAGGAGGCUAUAUUAAUAACAAAAAAUGUUAAAACCGAA